GAAAUACGGUGGCUCAACCAUCGCAGUGCCUUUGAUACUGAUGGGCUUGAAUCCAUAUGAAGUGGGCGGAAUAAGACAAGUAGCGGUGAAAUGCAUAGAUAUGUCUUAGAACUCCGAUUGCGAAGGCAGCUCACUAAGCUGGUAUUGACGCUGAUGCACGAAAGCGUGGGGAUCGAACAGGAUUAGAUACCCUGGUAGUCCACGCCCUAAACGAUGAUAACUCGAUGUUGGCGAUAGACAGCCAGCGUCUUAGCGAAAGCGUUAAGUUAUCCACCUGGGGAGUACGCCCGCAAGGGUGAAACUCAAAGGAAUUGACGCGGGCCCGCACAAGCGGAGGAGCAUGUGGUUUAAUUCGAUGAUACGCGAGGAACCUUACCCGGGCUUGAAAGUUAGUGAAGGUAGCAGAGACGCUACCGUCCUUCGGGACACGAAACUAGGUGCUGCAUGGCUGUCGUCAGCUCGUGCCGUGAGGUGUUGGGUUAAGUCCCGCAACGAGCGCAACCCCUAUGUUUAGUUGCCAGCAUGUAGUGGUGGGGACUCUAAACAGACUGCCUGCGCAAGCAGCGAGGAAGGUGGGGACGACGUCAAGUCAUCAUGGCCCUUACGUCCGGGGCUACACACGUGCUACAAUGGAUGGUACAGCGGGCAGCUAGCUGGCAACAGCAUGCUAAUCUCUAAAAGCCAUUCACAGUUCGGAUUGGGGUCUGCAACUCGACCCCAUGAAGUUGGAUUCGCUAGUAAUCGCGUAUCAGCAAUGACGCGGUGAAUACGUUCCCGGGCCUUGUACACACCGCCCGUCAAGCCAUGAAAGUUGGGGGUACCUAAAGCAUGUGACCGCAAGGAGCG
rnacentral:rRNA from 1 species